rnacentral:lncRNA from 1 species
GUGAUCCCAGGGAGUAAGGAGCCUCUGACUCCCUGCAGAGCACCAGCGCCCUUCAUCCCCAGGGCUCUUCCCCUGGCUGCUCCGUGUGGGCUGCCAAUAGUCAAAAAGAAGAACCGUACCAAAUUCAAUAUCUUUCUGAAAACUUGCAAAACCUGAGAAGCUAGCUUAUUUAAAACAGGAAGCUCUGCUGUUUACUACCUUAUGUCUCCCCAGAUAGUAUCUCUGUUUCAUUAGUUGAGACCCAGGCUGCCACUGGACACUUGCCACUCUGACUUUGCCGAGCCACCAGGCACCGCUUGUCUGUUUGCACCUGAGUGAGAACGUACUGAAAUGCAACUGGAGCUGGUUAUUUAGAAAAAUUACCAGCCCUGCGGGGUGGAAGUGCUGGGGCCCAAGUGGCUGAGCCACAGAGAAAGGCAGCUGGGGAGCUUUCUGAAGAGGACGGGGUGCAGCAACAAUCAGUGCAGCGAAGUUCUUCUUCUGAAGUAAAGGAAAUCCUGAGAAAAUGGACAGAGCUACAAACAUUUGUAGAGAAGACCCAGCCAGGCAGGGAAAGAAAGAGCCAAUCAUUGCGGUCCCUCGCUUAGUGACGACGUCACGUCACACUACAGAACAGUGUUAAAGACAAGACAGAAACAGGCAGCCUCAGAGCAGGUCUUAGUUCUGAAAAGGCUGAGACCCAGUGGGCCGAAGCAGGGCCUAGGGGGCUACAGACUCCCCCAAGGAGAGAAAGGACACUGGAGAGCCAGGUC